AUGUACCCUAGAGGCUCCGGCCGGGCGGGCGGCCGGUCGAGACUCGAGAGCUACGGUCCCGGUCUAGUUUUGGUUAGUUCAUUUGGUCCCAUAAAUUCCUUGGCAUCUCGUGUACCGUCCUGGUCCUGCACCGCAGGCUUGCAUUGUCUUGUGUUCAUCUUGCUACGCUGGUUCCAACAUUUUACGGCGUACGCAUUGGAUCCGGUCCAAGCUGCUGCGCUUGCCCCAGCAAUUAGCGCCACUGACCGGGGUCUCCGACACGUUUUCCAGGAGCGGCUGAGCGGUGGCCCCCGACCCCGUCACCGAAGCGAAUGGAGGCUAGCGCGGUUUUUUAGCCUGAUCAUCAUUAUCCACGGCACGGCUCUGGUGGAUCGCCAUGUGUUAAUUUAUGGUGGUGUCUCCCUCGCCCUGGGGCUCGGCUCGUAUCGUAUGGGUGUGGGGUUCGCCGCGCUUGGAAGUACCCGCUCGGACGUGGCUCUUGUCGCUUGUCGGGCCUCCCUCCCUCCCUCCCUCCCGCUCUGUAGCGGCGUCCGGGGUUGGGCAGAUGCGCAGUGUGGGCACACGGCGCGCAAACGCGCGCCGAGAACCCACCGCCUUUCCCCGGAUGGCGACGCAUGUGGCGACGCCGCUCGACCGCCGGUGGGCGGUUCACCUUGUCGCCGACCUCACCACGUCGGCGCUGAACAUUUUUCAAGCGAGGCGUUCUGCUCCGGCGGGGUGAUUCCCCUGUGCUGGCCCUCAUCAACGACCGCGGGGUCCGCGGUCAACUCGAUGCGGGUACACGGAAAGUUUUCGAUCGGGGAAGGGACGCAGGUGCGUUUCCCUUGUCACGUUGUGCUGGUCGACAGGGCGCUGGGUUCCGAGGCGGAGGUGUGGCGUGACGCGCAGAUCGAGGCAGAGGAGGAGAGGGAGCGUCGGGAAUGGAGGAGGAUUAAAGCUGCAGCGCUGUGUGGUGCGGCCAUUCCCUCCCCUCUCGACGAAAUCUACUCCCCUCCUCUCCCACAAGCGAGCGAUCCGCCAGAGGAUAACCAUGAAGCCCUAGAAGCUGAGGCUCGAGGCGGGGGCUCGGGUGAUUGUAGACGGGGACGAAUCAAAGCUGAUGGAGAUCAUCUCCAGGUUCUCGACAGGAAGCUCACCGAGGCGGAAGACUGGCGCCUCACACCGACGAGCAGGCCGGUGGGGGCGCUCAGGAUGUUGCUGUGGGCGAUGGAGGAGGCGGAAUCGGACGACCCCAUGCAAGCGAUAAAGGUCGGGGUAGGGAUCUCGCCGGCAGGCAGUCGCUUCUGGCUGCUCGCUGGUGAGGAUUUCGAUGAGGAGACUAGGCUCUUGAUGGAAUCUCAAGAUAGGUCUGGGAUGUUCAGGGGGGGUAAUGAUGUCAUCAAACCUCUCUCCCUGUGGGAUGGAGAGUGUGAUCCCCUCGAGGAUUUAGGGUUUCCCUCCAUCCCGCCGCCACCAGAAACAGAGGAAGUAGUUAGGAUGAAUAGUGCUUCGAAGGAAAUCGGGGCGGAGGAAGAUUUAAUCGAGGAGGAAGAGAUGGAUUCCAAUACAGAAAGAAAGAGGAAGAGAUUGACAAAUUCAAAAGGAAUUCUCAAUAGUUUAGCAGGGCUUCCAAUGGGUUUGGACCCAGAUUCACACCUGGCACUUCAAAUUAUUAAGAAAACGGAGGAGAGCAACAACAGUGGUUUGGGGCACUCCUCGCCCAGAUGGCACAACAGGGGGCAGAGACUAUCAAAGGAGGAGAGACUGAUGCUGGGUCAGGAUUCAGACAAAACCAGAACAACUGGAGGGGGUGCUGGCAGAAUGACACAGAGAGAGGGAACUGAUUUGAAUAAGGGUGGAACCAAUUUUAGAUUAAUGUGGAACAAAUGCAAAGACUUCAGACACCAAACUAGGGAUUACAAACUCUCAAACUGCAUCAUGUGUGGGAAAAAUUCUCACAUCACUGAGGAUUGCCACUGGUUGAAGCAAAUAAAGCCUUUGCCUAAAUAUGUUCGGUAUGCAGCCAGAGGGCUAGGAGUGUUCCUGAUACAGAACUCUAAGGAAGUGGUGAGCAGUGAGCAGAUUAACCCAAUGGCAAUCAUUACUAUUGCUUCUAAAGAGAUUAAUGAGACACAAUUUCUGGAGGGCUUCAACUACAUGCUCAAUUGGACCUAUGACACUCAAGCUAUUGGGAAGCUACACACUGUGUGCGUGAAGAUUGGCAAGAUGCCCGAAUGCUUCAGACACUUUUUUGGUGCUUGUGAGGUGGCUGCUACCAUUGGUCCAAUGUUGGAGAUUAACAUGACAACUAUUAUGCAAGAGAAAAUUAGAGCCAAGGUGGGGGGCUGGUAUGAGGACAAAAGGAAACAUGAAGACCUUGAGACAAAUAAGGAGGCCGACCUAGAUGACAUGAGAAAUAAGAUUAAAAUUGGUGGAGUUGAUGCAGAGGGGAACAAAGAAAACAUCUCUUUGGGAAGUGUAGGGCUUAAACAAUUUGAAGAAAUGAACAAGAGAAAUGAUGAAAUUCUGAACAUUCAGAAGGAAUAUCUGGCUGAGGUUGGAAUGAGGAAAAGUCAGGACUGUGUGGAGUCUCUGGGGUCAAAACUGGGGAUUUCUACCAAAGAUGAUAAAGACAAGGACAAGGAUGGACCAACUAGAAGAAGUGACAGGAACUCGGACAAAAAAGAUGCUAAGAUUGAAGAUUUGGCCAAAGAAAGAGCUGCUAACAAAGAUAAUUAUGAUAAACUCUUGGAUUUUGUGGGGCUGCUAGAAACCAUUAAAGGAGAUUACACAAAGAAUGAACUCCAUAACUUUUCUGGAGGAAGAAAUUUUCUUUGGGAAUGGAUUGCCCUAGAGGCAAAUCUGGGGAGGCAUCAAUGCCCAGGAAAGAAUCAUGCAAAAAGAAUUAAGGAGAGAGCUGAAAGAGAUUCUCAAACUAGAAGAAAUCAAGUGGCUGCAAAGAAAACGCACCCAGGGGAAGGAAUGCUGAUGCUGGGGGCAAGGCUCAUCGAACAGGUGGCAAGUGAGAUCUUCAAAGCUUCACAGGGAUGGCGUUUUGGAGUACCAAGGCUGUAG
rnacentral:rRNA from 1 species